rnacentral:rRNA from 1 species
GGAGGAAAAGAAACCAACCGGGAUUGCCUUAGUAACGGCGAGUGAAGCGGCAAAAGCUCAAAUUUGAAAUCUGGUACCUUCGGUGCCCGAGUUGUAAUUUGGAGAGGGCAACUUUGGGGCCGUUCCUUGUCUAUGUUCCUUGGAACAGGACGUCAUAGAGGGUGAGAAUCCCGUGUGGCGAGGAGUGCGGUUCUUUGUAAAGUGCCUUCGAAGAGUCGAGUUGUUUGGGAAUGCAGCUCUAAGUGGGUGGUAAAUUCCAUCUAAAGCUAAAUAUUGGCGAGAGACCGAUAGCGAACAAGUACAGUGAUGGAAAGAUGAAAAGAACUUUGAAAAGAGAGUGAAAAAGUACGUGAAAUUGUUGAAAGGGAAGGGCAUUUGAUCAGACAUGGUGUUUUGUGCCCUCUGCUCCUUGUGGGUAGGGGAAUCUCGCAUUUCACUGGGCCAGCAUCAGUUUUGGUGGCAGGAUAAAUCCAUAGGAAUGUAGCUUGCCUCGGUAAGUAUUAUAGCCUGUGGGAAUACUGCCAGCUGGGACUGAGGACUGCGACGUAAGUCAAGGAUGCUGCAUAA